UACAGAGGGUGCAAGCGUUAAUCGGAAUUACUGGGCGUAAAGCGCACGUAGGCGGUUUUUUAAGUCAGAUGUGAAAGCCCCGGGCUCAACCUGGGAAUUGCAUUUGAAACUGGGGAACUAGAGUGUGUGAGAGGGGGGUAGAAUUCCAAGUGUAGCGGUGAAAUGCGUAGAGAUUUGGAGGAAUACCAGUGGCGAAGGCGGCCCCCUGGCACAACACUGACGCUCAGGUGCGAAAGCGUGGAGAGCAAACAGG
rnacentral:rRNA from 1 species